rnacentral:rRNA from 1 species
UUACCAGGUCUUGACAUCCCGAUGCUAUUCUAGAGAUAGAAAGUUACUUCGGUACAUCGGUUGACAGGUGGUGCAUGGUUGUCGUCAGCUCGUGUCGUGAGAUGUUGGGUUAAGUCCCGCAACGAGCGCAACCCCUAUUGUUAGUUGCCAUCAUUCAGUUGGGCACUCUAGCGAGACUGCCGGUAAUAAACCGGAGGAAGGUGGGGAUGACGUCAAAUCAUCAUGCCCCUUAUGACCUGGGCUACACACGUGCUACAAUGGUUGGUACAACGAGUUGCGAGUCGGUGACGGCGAGCUAAUCUCUUAAAGCCAAUCUCAGUUCGGAUUGUAGGCUGCAACUCGCCUACAUGAAGUCGGAAUCGCUAGUAAUCGCGGAUCAGCACGCCGCGGUGAAUACGUUCCCGGGCCUU